rnacentral:rRNA from 1 species
GUAGGUGGCAAGCGUUGUCCGGGAAUUAUUGGGGCGUAAAGCGCGCGCAGGCGGUUCUUUAAGUCUGAUGUGAAAGCCCACGGGCUCAACCGUGGGAGGGUCAUUGGAAACUGGAGAACUUGAGUACAGAAGAGGAAAGCGGAAUUCCACGUGUAGCGGUGAAAUGCGUAGAGAUGUGGAGGAACACCAGUGGCGAAGGCGGCUUUCUGGUCUGUAACUGACGCUGAGGCGCGAAAGCGUGGGGAGCAAACAGGAUUAGAUACCCUGGUAGUCCACGCCGUAAACGAUGAGUGCUAAGUGUCAGGUGGUUUCCGCCCCUUAGUGCUGCAGCUAACGCAUUAAGCACUCCGCCUGGGGAGUACGGCCGCAAAGGCUG